rnacentral:rRNA from 1 species
UACGUAGGGGGCUAGCGUUGUCCGGAAUCAUUGGGCGUAAAGAGCGUGUAGGCUGCUCGGUAAGUCCGCUGUAAAAGUCAAAGGCUCAACCUUUGAAUGUCAGUGGAUACUGCCGGGCUAGAGUCCGGAAGAGGCGAGUGGAACUCCUGGUGUAGCGGUGGAAUGCGCAGAGAUCGGGAAGAACACCAGUGGCGAAGGCGGCGCUCUGGGCUGCACCUGACGCUGAGAUGCGAAAGUGUGGGGAGCAAACGGG